CGGUAGUGGGACCCGACCCUGUCUCCAGUGGGCGUCUUGGGCCCCGGCUCUAUUCUGGGCUGCGGGCCUGGGAAGGGCUCGCCGGGUGCCAAAUGAGCUGUCCUAACUCUGCGGGGCUGCAGCUUCCUGCAUGAUGCUGGGGAGCUUGGCGCCUGACCCAGGAUCUAGAAGGCACUCUGGGCAGGCCGCGCUCCGCCCACGAAGGUUUAACCACCAAGGACUCUGAGAGCUGGCAGGUCUGAGUAACCCUGAUAAACUGCCAGGGAGAAGAAUGAGAAGACAGGAGACAAACUGUUUGGAAAGCUAAAUCUUCCCUCUUAAUGAAUAAAGGUUUUUGCCUUGUCUUAAA
rnacentral:lncRNA from 1 species